GAAAGGAGAGCUACGUAAAGACGCAAUGAACUAGAAACAGAUGAAGAAGGAAUUUCAUGUGUUAUUUGAUGUUGCAGAAAAUACAAAUGAUGCCAAAGAAGAAAAGAGAAAAGGAACUUGGACUGUACCAUUUUCUUUGCAGCUCCUAAGAUCUAGGAGGUGAAUUUCCUUCUGUUGAGGAGUCGGAAAUUUAGACUGUCCUGAAGAUAUUAAAUGAAGAUUAUUAUUGAAAAAAAGAGCACCUUGAAGUACUAGAAGAAUUUGAAAACAAACUAACUUGGUGAAAUAGUCCUACUGGAUAUGACAGAACACCAAGAAAAAUGGUGAAAAAUUACACAACUUAUCACAAGAAGAUAAAAGCUUUUUGCAAUUUUCGGUGGUUCUGAGAUCAGUUACAGUCAAAGGAAAAAAAAUACUGAACAUGUAUUAACGAUUCAUCGAUCUUAUGAUGUAUCUUGAUUGAUAUCUUAAAACAUAUUGACUGUAAACUAGUUACAAAUUCACCAAUUAUAUCUGUUGUUCACAAAAUUUGUUAUUGUUGUUAGUUGGAAAUAUCUGUUGAAUGUUUUGAAAUUAAAAUGUGUAAAUUUAAA